GCCCUGGUGGCACAGUGGUUAAAUGCCUGUACUGCAGUCACUGCAAAGUUGUGAGUUCAAUACCAACCAAGGGCU